UCGAGUUUUGACUGGGUUGUAGCUGGCCUUCCGAGGCAUGUGCACGCCCCGCUCAUCCACUCUACACCUGUGCACUUACUGUGGGCUUCAGAUCGUAAAACGGGUCCCUUUACCGGGCUUGCGGAGCGUGUCUGUGCCUGCGUUUAUCACAAACUCUAUAAAGUAUCAGAAUGUGUAUUGCGAUGUAACGCAUCUAUAUA
rnacentral:misc_RNA from 1 species